UUGGAGGGCAAGUCUGGUGCCAGCAGCCGCGGUAAUUCCAGCUCCAAUAGCGUAUAUUAAAGUUGUUGCAGUUAAAAAGCUCGUAGUUGAAUUUCGGGGUCAGUAGGUUGGUCAUGCCACUGGUAUGUACUGGUCUCACUGAUUCGUCCUUCCUGAUGAGCCGUAAUGCCAUUAAUUCGGUGUUGCGAGGAAUCUGGACUGUUACUUUGAAAAAAUUAGAGUGUUUAAAGCAAGCUAACGCUUGAAUACAUAAGCAUGGAAUAAUGAAAUAGGACGUUCGAUCCUAUUUUGUUGGUUUCUAGGAUUGACGUAAUGAUUAAUAGGGAUAGUUGGGGGCAUUAGUAUUCAAUUGUCAGAGGUGAAAUUCUUGGAUUUAUUGAAGACUAACUACUGCGAAAGCAUUUGCCAAGGAUGUUUUCAUUAAUCAAGAACGAAAGUUAGGGGAUCGAAGACGAUCAGAUACCGUCGUAGUCUUAACCAUAAACUAUGCCGACUAGGGAUCGGAUGAUGCUAAUUUUUUAAUGACUCAUUCGGCGCCUUACGGGAAACCAAAGUGUUUGGGUUC
rnacentral:rRNA from 1 species